rnacentral:rRNA from 1 species
CCUACGGGUGGCCGCAGUGAGGAAUAUUGGUCAAUGGGCGCGAGCCUGAACCAGCCACGUAGCGUGAAGGAUGACUGCCCUCCGGGUUGUAAACUUCUUUUAUCAAGGAAUAAAGUGAGGCACGUGUGCCUUUUUGUAUGUCCUUUAUGAAUCAGGCUCGGCUAACUCCGUGCCAGCAGCCGCGGUACUACGGAGGAUCCGUGCGUUAUCCGGAUUUAUUGGGUUUAAAGGGAGCGUAGAUGGGUUGUUAAGUCAGUUGUGAAAGUUUGCGGCUCAACCGUAAAAUUGCAAUUGAUACUGGCAGUCUGGAGUACAGUUGAGGUAGGCGGAAUUCGUGGUGUAGCGGUGAAAUGCUUAGAUAUCACGAAGAACACCGAUUGCGAAGGCAGCUUACUAAACUGCCACUGACAGUGAGGCUCGAAAGUGUGGGUAGCAAACAGGAUUAGAUACCCUAGUAGUC